AGAACGCUGAAAUAAGAGCUUGCUCUUAUGGAUGAGUUGCGAACGGGUGAGUAACACGUGGGGAACCUACCUUCUAGCGGGGGAUAACACAUAGAAAUGUGUGCUAAUACCGCAUAAUAGUAUUUGAUGCAUAUCAGAUACUUGAAAGGCGCAAUUGCGUCACUAGAAGAUGGCCCCGCGGUGCAUUAGCUAGUUGGUGAGGUAACGGCUCACCAAGGCAAUGAUGCAUAGCCGACCUGAGAGGGUGAUCGGCCACACUGGGACUGAGACACGGCCCAGACUCCUACGGGAGGCAGCAGUAGGGAAUCUUCGGCAAUGGACGCAAGUCUGACCGAGCAACGCCGCGUGAGUGAAGAAGGUUUUCGGAUCGUAAAACUCUGUUGUAAGAGAAGAACGUUGAUGAGAGUGGAAAGUUCAUCAAGUGACGGUAUCUUACCAGAAAGCCACGGCUAACUACGUGCCAGCAGCCGCGGUAAUACGUAGGUGGCAAGCGUUGUCCGGAUUUAUUGGGCGUAAAGCGAGCGCAGGCGGUUGAUUAAGUCUGAUGUGAAAGCCCCCGGCUCAACCGGGGAGGGUCAUUGGAAACUGGUCAACUUGAGUGCAGAAGAGGAGAGUGGAAUUCCAUGUGUAGCGGUGAAAUGCGUAGAUAUAUGGAGGAACACCAGUGGCGAAGGCGGCUCUCUGGUCUGUAACUGACGCUGAGGCUCGAAAGCGUGGGGAGCGAACAGGAUUAGAUACCCUGGUAGUCCACGCCGUAAACGAUGAGUGCUAAGUGUUGGAGGGUUUCCGCCCUUCAGUGCUGCAGCUAACGCAUUAAGCACUCCGCCUGGGGAG
rnacentral:rRNA from 1 species